rnacentral:pre_miRNA from 13 species
AUGGAGUCAUCAAGUGUAACAGCAACUCCAUAUGGACUAUGUGCCAAUUUCCAGUGGAGAUGCUGUUACUUUUGAUGGUUACCAA